rnacentral:rRNA from 1 species
GGCGGACGGGUGAGUAACACGUGGAUAACCUACCUAUAAGACUGGGAUAACUUCGGGAAACCGGAGCUAAUACCGGAUAAUAUUUUGAACCGCAUGGUUCAAAAGUGAAAGACGGUCUUGCUGUCACUUAUAGAUGGAUCCGCGCUGCAUUAGCUAGUUGGUAAGGUAACGGCUUACCAAGGCAACGAUGCAUAGCCGACCUGAGAGGGUGAUCGGCCACACUGGAACUGAGACACGGUCCAGACUCCUACGGGAGGCAGCAGUAGGGAAUCUUCCGCAAUGGGCGAAAGCCUGACGGAGCAACGCCGCGUGAGUGAUGAAGGUCUUCGGAUCGUAAAACUCUGUUAUUAGGGAAGAACAUAUGUGUAAGUAACUGUGCACAUCUUGACGGUACCUAAUCAGAAAGCCACGGCUAACUACGUGCCAGCAGCCGCGGUAAUACGUAGGUGGCAAGCGUUAUCCGGAAUUAUUGGGCGUAAAGCGCGCGUAGGCGGUUUUUUAAGUCUGAUGUGAAAGCCCACGGCUCAACCGUGGAGGGUCAUUGGAAACUGGAAAACUUGAGUGCAGAAGAGGAAAGUGGAAUUCCAUGUGUAGCGGUGAAAUGCGCAGAGAUAUGGAGGAACACCAGUGGCGAAGGCGACUUUCUGGUCUGUAACUGACGCUGAUGUGCGAAAGCGUGGGGAUCAAACAGGAUUAGAUACCCUGGUAGUCCACGCCGUAAACGAUGAGUGCUAAGUGUUAGGGGGUUUCCGCCCCUUAGUGCUGCAGCUAACGCAUUAAGCACUCCGCCUGGGGAGUACGACCGCAAGGUUGAAACUCAAAGGAAUUGACGGGGACCCGCACAAGCGGUGGAGCAUGUGGUUUAAUUCGAAGCAACGCGAAGAACCUUACCAAAUCUUGACAUCCUUUGACAACUCUAGAGAUAGAGCCUUCCCCUUCGGGGGACAAAGUGACAGGUGGUGCAUGGUUGUCGUCAGCUCGUGUCGUGAGAUGUUGGGUUAAGUCCCGCAACGAGCGCAACCCUUAAGCUUAGUUGCCAUCAUUAAGUUGGGCACUCUAAGUUGACUGCCGGUGACAAACCGGAGGAAAGGUGGGGAUGACGUCAAAUCAUCAUGCCCCUUAUGAUUUGGGCUACCACGUGCUACAUGGACAAUACAAGGGCAGCGAAACCGCGAGGUCAGCAAUCCCUAAAGUGUU